UGAGACUUCAUUUUAAAUGACUUCACUGACUUUUAAGGUCAGUGAAGCUGAAGCCUCACUUUCAUGAUGUCCAUCUCCAAGACCUUCCAUAUAUUACUGGCUAAUGGUAAAAAAUACAGUCUGAUAGAGAGAUACGGAAAUUUGAGGAAGUCUACCCCAGAAAAAAAUCAAUACCUUCAGAGUUCAUCCAAACUUCUGACUGAAGCAUGUUUACAGGCAUCAAAUUUGCCACUUUGGGGCGUGCUAGGAGUGGUACUCACAUCAGACACCACUAGUGCUGAGGGAAAAAUGUGCUGAGGGAGAGAAAUGAAGGGCAGAGAUCUGGAAUACAGAGGGAAAGUAUCUAAUCAGAAAUAACAGCUCUCAUCAGGCGCAGACAAUAGACAGUAAACUGGCUUCAGGAGAGCUAUUCAGGCGUCGUGGGAGCCAAAUCAACAGACAGAAGUGCUUUCUCUUAGGAGGCGAUGCUCCUGACAGCUUGAUUGCUUGGAAUCUGAGGUGAAAAUGCCCAACCAAAGAGAUCAGUUGAGAGAGGAAAAAGCAGCACGUUAAAAUAAGAAAAACAGGAUUUUUGUGAAGGACACAAUUGUGUGUUUGCGCGUUGCUGAAACCCAAAGGAAGAAACUUCCAGCUCUCAGGUCUUCUCAUACCUGUGGAGAGGACACCAUGCCUGAAAUGAUUGUGAAGAACACCUCAAACAAACAAAAAACCAAGGUAAUCUGUCUUCAUCAGAUCUUGUCCAGAAUGCAUUGAACUCCUAAAUCCAGACAAAAUACCUCUGUGGGAGGAGAAAAAAGAAAAGGAAUGAGCAGAGAAAUGCCUGUUCUUUAAAAAUCAGCUUUAAGCUGAAAGCCUGCACAACUUGAUUAUGAGCCCCAUGAGUUAUCUGCCUGGACUUUGGGCAUCUCUACAAGCAACACAAAUACUCCUGAACAGCAGGAGCCAUGGAGCAGAGCAGAGGCCCAGGUGCAUUUGGUCAGUGACCUGUCCACACGAUCCCAUUCCUCCUGUCAUGUUAGGAUGAGGAAACGAGCUACUUUGUGUGGCGAGUAACAAAAGGCCAUACAGUUUUCCCUGUCUUAAUUAUACUACAGACUGUUUAAUUCUGUAAACGAGCUGCUUGGCAGGCAUUCAGAACAAUUACACAACUCCCUCUCCUGCUCUCCCUGCGAUAGCUCAAGAGCAGCUCAGCUGUGAAGAUGAUGAGCCUCAGCACCAUCCACCUCAUGAUGGACAUCUGGUGAUGGCCUCUGUCCUGCCAGCCUGCAAAGCUGACACCCCACGCUGUCCCCGAGCUUCUGGACCGAGCUGGAAGGACUGAAACCUGCAGAGGGGAGGGAAGCUGUGCAGUGGAAGCCACAGUCAAGAUAAGGAAGGAAUAAGACACGAUUAAUGGGAUCCAUGGGCCAAAAACUUUUAAGGCAAGGUGCUUGAGGCAUGGUCACCAAAGCCUUUGGAGAAAGUCUCUGUCACUAUUGAGACAAAUGUCUGAGUCUUUGAGGGAUUGAGUUCUGCCUGUCCCUCAGUCAGCAGCACAUGGCACGGUUUGGGCAGUCAGCUGCUUCUGGCACAGCCCCUCCACGUGUGAAAGGGAAAUAAUGAUCCCAGCCUCCUGCUUUGGGAGAGCCCUUUGGCAUCAGCUGUGGAAAGAACAGCAGGUAUCAUCAACAUGGGGAGGGGAGAAAGGACAGCAGCCUCAGGCUGUGACAUGUGAGGGACCUCAGGUCUUGACCAGGCUUGAUAGGGAAUGGCCUCUCCUAAAUGAAAAGUCUGUGCUGUUGAAGGGUCUGACCAGCACAGCAAAUGAGCAGCUGUGUGACUGCACAGGGAAAUGUGAGCAGCACAAUUCCCCCUGGGUCCCCACUUUGCACCACAAUAAAUGUUACAGGACACAACGUACCUCUAAGCUCAAGGUUGCUCACCCGCUAAUUACUGUGCUCUGAACUUCUUGCCUGAGGUCUGCAAUGUAAAACAUACCAGAAAAAAUGCCUUUAAUUCACUUUUUAAGUGGCAAAUGUGUCUGUGUACACUGAGAACCAGCUCUGCUUUCUGCCAGCAAUGCAAUUUUCAAGCAAGCAAAAUAGAAUCAUCCCAAGCACAGUUGAAAAUAUUAGUCUUUCAUGAGGAUGCUCAAUAACAGUGAAAGGAUUCUAGAAUUUGUUGAAGAAAAUUAUGGCCUUGAAGAGGAUAGUGGCUUUUAGUCCUUUAAUAUAUAAGGAUUUUUAAUGCAGUGCAGUAGAGGCAUUUUUCCCCAAAGGAUAUAUGAAUUCCAUUACAUCUCAUUA